UGCAGCAUGAGGAAUCUUUAGUUGCAGCAUGUGAACUUUAGUUGUGCCAUGCUGGAUAUGGUUCCCUGGCCAGGAAUCAAAUCUAGGCCCCCUGCAUUGGGAGCACAGAGUUUUAGCCACUGGAGGGAAAUCCUAGUAGGAAGGCACCAGACCACCUGAAUCUAUUAUUUUUGUAUCCAUCUACAUCCAAUACUCAUGGAGCACCUAAUUCUCCAGAUGGGGUGGAGACAAAAGACCCAGACCUUAUAAGACAGCAUGUGCUUCAUGGUUGAGAUCCGUGGGAACCACUAAGGGUCAAGAAAGGGAGCCAUCGGCUAGGCCAAAACAUUGUGAAGCGGGAGCAGGAUGCCGGCAAGGCAAGGCAUACAGCAUGGGAAAGGAGGCAGGGUUCGGAAAGUGGAGGCAGGCUGGACAGAGACAAGGGUUAGUCUCUGGAAAGUUGACAUAUGUGGAGCCCAGGAGAGGAGGGCCUUGCUAGGCAAUACAAGAUUCUCUUCAAGUCUGGAGGAACUGCUCAAUGCAGGGGGCUUGGAGGACCCUAGCUGGGUCCUUUUCUCAUCUCUGCCCUGCAAGCUCCCCACGUGUUCUUUACCCCAAGGUGUCGGCCAUCACCCAUCCCAUGGCUAUCAAUCUUUCUUCCUGGCUUUGAGACCUCCAGAUGCUUUCCAGAUCUGCAUCUACAUUGAGUGUUGACACAUACACCCAACAGUUCCUUACUUUAAGGACUUGCCUGUCCCAUUCAGUUCAAGGCCCCAGCUCAAGGCUUGACAAUCACAAGGUCAACCCCUAUAAGAUGUCGUCAGAUCUCCCCUUUUCCUCCCUUCCCGGAACCCCACCAGUUCCUGAGUCCUGUCGUAGGUGCAUCUUCCUUGGGUAAAGCACACAGGCUCCACGGUCAGAGAGACUAAAGUUCAGAUCCUGACUCCACCACCAUUAGCUGUAAGCCUUGCCCAAGACACUUAAGCUAAUGGAAUCUCACUUUCACCAUCUGUUAAAUGGGUAAUGAGAUAAUGUAUGUAGCACAACCUUGCUCAGGGGUCUGGUGUGCAAUCAGAAGUAAUAUUAAGGCAAUGUACAUCUUUGAGAGUCACUCAGUGUCCAUUAGAUUGAAGGCUUCUGAACAAUCUCCUUGUAGCUGUGUGUUGGUUAUUUUCUAUCACCCCUUUCUGGGUUUCCCUGGUGGCUCAGAUGAUAAAGAAUCUCCCUGCAAAAUGGGAGGCUUGGGUUCAAUCCCUGGGUUGGAAAGAUUCCCCUGGAGGAGGAAAUGGCAACCCACUCCAAUAUUCUAGCCUGGAGAGUCCCCAUGGAAGACCCUGGUGGGCUACAGUCCAUGGGAUCGCAAAGAGUCAGACACGACAGAAUGACUAAGCACAGCACAGCACUCUCUGCUACAGAUCCAUUCUCUGUGCCUUUGACUCUGCUCUCUGCUCCCCAGCACACCACUGAAUCUCCCCUCAGAGGAUCCCAGAGGGAAGCUGGGCUCCCUUCAGCUUCUGAUUGAGUUCAACCAGUGGGCAGCCUUUGGAGAAUAGGAGAGGGGAAAGGCUGGAUGGUUUAGUAUUUUAUGCUCUUCCUGCCGUGGCCAUGGUGGUGGUCAUGCUCCCCUAGGCUCCAGCCCUGGUGGAUAGCCCUCUUGUAUAGCUGCAGCUCUCUCAUCUCUUGCCCUCUUAGACCUGGAGGUGGUGAGGGCUUCUUACUCUUGCUAGUUUCUAGGUGCUCCGUCAUCCUUUUGAUGGCAUCCCAAACCCUGCUCCGCUCUUCACAGUCCUUUCAUCAAACUCUUCUCACUUCAACUCUGUGUGUGCCUGCCCGUUUCUAUUAGAAAUACCUGCCAGGACAAGGUGCUCGUGGCCUUUUGGGAAGAACAGUGGCCCUCAAGAUGAUAGAGAGAUGGGAUCCAUCUGGAGAAAAGGGUAGAUGAGGGCCUGGGAUCGAAGAGGCAGUGACGCAAGGGUGGGGAGGAAGGCAGUUGAGAAAACCCUCUCUUUUGCUCUGCGGAGUGCCUACCUCUUCCCCUGGCUAUGCUGUGGCGAUGACAUGUGUGUUCAUUGACAUGUGUUUCAUUGAUUAGAAAACCAAAUGCUACUUUUAGAUGCAUGUUCAGGGAAUUGGAAGAUAAAUCUUGAGAACUGAGCAUCUUAUAAGCAACCCCAGCGUCACAGAAGCCCUAAUCCUGUUUUGCCCGCUCGAGCCUUGCCUCAGGUGGCGUUACAGUUGAUGCUGGAUUUAAUUAGGAGUGUAGACGCCUUUUCCCAGGUGGGCCAGUGGUAAAGAAUUUGCCUGGUAAUGCAGGAGAUGCCAGUUUGAUUCCUGGGUUGGGAAGAUCCCCUGGAGAAGGAAAUGGCAACUUACUCCAGUAUUCUUGCCUGGAGAAUUCCAUAAACAGAGGAGUCUGAUGGCCUACAGUCUAUGGGGGUUGCAAAAAAUUAGAUAUGACUUAGCAAGUAAAACAACAACACACAGAAGCCUUUGUGUCUCUCUCAGCAAAAUCAAAUGCAGACUCUCCAGGCUCCCAUACCCCGUCACAGACAACCCAAUUUAGAACAAAGUGUUGAAUUUGGGCCUUGCUUCCCCAAUGCCCAGCCCAGAGCCUGUGGACCCUCUGCUGCUCUAAGGAAGCCCCUUUAGGUGCCUGAGGUGCUGGCUGCUGUCGGUGUGGAUGAGAGUGAAGGGCCCAUGUCCAUGGCAGGUCAGGAGAGAAGUAGUUCUGAAGUGAGUGGCUUGUGGGAGGGAAAGGGGAGCCACAGGAGGAAGCUGGUGAGCUAAACCUGCACUUUUGUCAAGAUGUCACAGCACUCGUGGGAAGAGGGCAAGGCUGGUUCUCUCAGCAGAGCUGCCUCUGUGACUCUGGAUUCUUUGCCUAAUUCUGGAUCUGCAGUGUACAUAUAUCAUGCUGGAGCAGAAUUGGCCCUGGAAAAUGUUCAGGCAGAGCAGCAGCCAUGGAGCAGGCCCUGCUGUCCUGGACUUUCUCCCUUGUCUUUCCCUGGCUCUCACCCACCGCAUUUCAGGACUGGGAAAGGCAUCGUAAAGACUGCCCUGAUCGAUUCCUGGAUUUAAAAGGAUGGCCUGUGGAAGCUGUGAUAAUCACAAGAGGAGAGCGAGACCCUGCCCCAAGUAAACUCUUUCCUUUUUUGUUUUUCAUGUUUUGAUCUUAUGAGCCUUGACUAGGCUCCACUGAAAACAAUGGCAACGUCUUCAAAGAGGAGCAUCAAGCCCUCUGAAUGGGCUAAUUCUGCUGCAGGUUCCCGCUAUCCAUCCGCCCUUGACAAGCGCCAGUAGAAGUCAACAGGUGGUUGUCCAAAUAUAAAUGAAAAGGCUUAACUCUGAAAACAUCGCCGUCUGAGGGGAUUUUGUGAAGACUUUACUCUGUGGUUUUGGCAGUGACUAUGGGUUUCUUUGCCAGCGCACAGAGAAAUUUGACCUGUGUCCCUCAAGGGCUAGAGAUUUUCAUCAUGACUGUCUCCACAUAGUACCUACCCACCCCUUCUUUUCCUCAACAAGCUAGUAAAUUCAAAAAUAAAAAGUGAAGAGAGAGAGAGAGAGAAAGGCUGAAGAAACAAAGGAGAGGGAGUACCUGAGUCUGUAUUUUAUUCCCUUAUUAAAACCACAUUUACAUGUGUCAAAAACAGGGGUAUUUUGAUGUGUGGGAGGAGAGAUAUUUUGCAAGCAGAUUUCUCUCAAUAAAAUUUCCUCCGUGCUGACAA